GACAGAUAGGCUGACAAACAAACGCUCAUUUUGCGCCUCAAACAUUCAGUCAUCGUUGAGAGCUGAAGCAGUAAAGUUGUAAUAAUCGGAAGCGAGAAAAAAAAAUUUGUGAGGCACUCUCCACCAUUCCAAGAAAAUGCUCAAAAAACGAAAUUUUGCUGCAUCCAAGAUAUCAACAUCUAAUGCCUAACAUCCAAUAGUUUAUCAAC
rnacentral:sRNA from 1 species